GUGAGCCAUUUUUCCUCUUCUCCAUUCCUCAGGUUCUUCAAUUUUUUCCUAAUAUAUAGAUUUUUAUUUUUAUUCUAUCGUUUUGAGAUUGUCUCCCCCAUACCGAUGGCACCCCUCUAUUUGUGUGUUAGUGGGUGUUGCGGUAGUUCUCUAUCAGGGCUUCUUCCACCCCCUCUACCAACGGACACAAGAUUUUGAUCUAAUCUCCCUCUCUUCCUUGGGUUCUUAUCUUUGGUCACUUGUGUUUUGCUUUAUGGUAUGGG
rnacentral:lncRNA from 1 species